AAUCAACGCUGGCGGCGUGCCUAACACAUGCAAGUCGAACGCGAGAGGGGCUUCGGCCCUGAUUGAGUGGCAAACGGGUGAGUAACGCGUGGGUGACCUACCUUCGAGUGGGGGAUAACGUUCCGAAAGGGACGCUAAUACCGCAUAACAUCCUGUCUUUGGACAGAUGGAGAUCAAAGCCGGGGAUCGUAAGACCUGGCGCUUGAGGAGGGGCCCGCGUCCGAUUAGCUAGUUGGUGGGGAAUGGCUCACCAAGGCAACGAUCGGUAGCCGGCCUGAGAGGGCGGACGGCCACACUGGGACUGAGACACGGCCCAGACUCCUACGGGAGGCAGCAGUGGGAAUUGUUCGCAAUGGGCGCAAGCCUGACGACGCAACGCCGCGU
rnacentral:rRNA from 1 species